rnacentral:rRNA from 1 species
AGAUGUGUAUAAGAAGCAGCCUACAAGCCGUGGGAGCGUCGCCGUGUUCUUCGGAGCACGGUCGUGACUGCGUGCCUUUUGAAGAAUGAGCCUGCGAGUUUGCGGUGUGUUGCGAGGUUAACCCGUGUGGGGAAGCCGUAGCGAAAGCGAGUCCGAAUAGGGCGAUAGAGUAGCGCGCUCAAGACCCGAAGCGGAGUGAUCUAGCCAUGGGCAGGUUGAAGCGGAGGUAAGACUUCGUGGAGGACCGAACCCACCAGGGUUGAAAACCUGGGGGAUGACCUGUGGUUAGGGGUGAAAGGCCAAUCAAACUCCGUGAUAGCUGGUUCUCCCCGAAAUGCAUUUAGGUGCAGCGUCGUGUGUUUCUUGCCGGAGGUAGAGCACUGGAUAGGCGAUGGGCCCUACCGGGUUACUGACCUUAGCCAAACUCCGAAUGCCGGUAAGUGAGAGCGCGGCAGUGAGACUGUGGGGGAUAAGCUCCAUGGUCGAGAGGGAAACAGCCCAGAGCAUCGACUAAGGCCCCUAAGCGUACGCUAAGUGGGAAAGGAUGUGGAGUCGCAGAGACAACCAGGAGGUUGGCUUAGAAGCAGCCAUCCUUGAAAGAGUGCGUAAUAGCUCACUGGUCAAGUGAUUCCGCGCCGACAAUGUAGCGGGGCUCAAGCGUACCGCCGAAGUCGUGUCAUUGCAGCAUAUACCUCUAACGGGGGCUGUGAUGGGUAGGGGAGCGUCGUGUGCCGGGUGAAGCAGCCGUGUAAGCGAGUUGUGGAUGGUUCACGAGUGAGAAUGCAGGCAUGAGUAGCGAUACACACGUGAGAAACGUGUGCGCCGAUUGACUAAGGGUUCCUGGGUCAAGCUGAUCUGCCCAGGGUAAGUCGGGACCUAAGGCGAGGCCGACAGGCGUAGUCGAUGGACAACCGGUUGAUAUUCCGGUACCCGCUUUGAAGCGCCAACGCCGAACCAGGCGAUGCUAAGUCCGUGAAGCCGCCCCGGAGCCUUCGGGCAAAGGGGAGUGGUGGAGCCGACGGACCAGACCUGUAGUAGGUGAGUGAUGGGGUGACGCAGGAAGGUAGUCCAGCCCGGGCGGUGGUUGUCCCGGGGUAAGGGUGUAGCCCGAGGGGUAGGUAAAUCCGUCCCUCAUUUAAGGGUGAGACCUGAUGCCGAGCCGAUUGUGGUGAAGUGGAUGAUCCUAUGCUGUCGAGAAAAGCCUCUAGCGAGUUUCAUGGCGGCCCGUACCCUAAACCGACUCAGGUGGUCAGGUAGAGAAUACCGAGGCGUUCGGGUGAACUAUGGUUAAGGAACUCGGCAAAAUGCCCCCGUAACUUCGGGAGAAGGGGGGCCAUUGCUGGUGAUCACCCUUGCGGUGUGAGCUGGUGGUGGCCGCAGAGACCAGCGAGAAGCGACUGUUUACUAAAAACACAGGUCCGUGCGAAGCCGUAAGGCGAUGUAUACGGACUGACGCCUGCCCGGUGCUGGAACGUUAAGGGGACCGGUUAGUGGGAUUUCGAUCCCGCGAAGCUGAGAACUUAAGCGCCAGUAAACGGCGGUGGUAACUAUAACCAUCCUAAGGUAGCGAAAUUCCUUGUCGGGUAAGUUCCGACCUGCACGAAUGGCGUAACGACUUCUCGACUGUCUCAACCAUAGGCCCGGUGAAAUUGCAUUACGAGUAAAGAUGCUCGUUUCGCGCAGCAGGACGGAAAGACCCCGGGACCUUUACUACAGCUUGAUAUUGGUGUUCGGUUCGGCUUGUGUAGGAUAGGUGGGAGACUGUGAACUCUGGACGCCAGUUCAGGGGGAGUCGUUGUUGAAAUACCACUCUGGUCGUGCUGGAUGUCUAACCUGGGUCCGUGAUCCGGAUCAGGGACAGUGUCUGGUGGGUAGUUUAACUGGGGCGGUUGCCUCCUAAAGGGUAACGGAGGCGCCCAAAGGUUCCCUCAGCCUGGUUGGCAAUCAGGUGUUGAGUGUAAGUGCACAAGGGAGCUUGACUGUGAGACCGACGGGUCGAGCAGGGACGAAAGUCGGGACUAGUGAUCCGGCGGUGGCUUGUGGAAGCGCCGUCGCUCAACGGAUAAAAGGUACCCCGGGGAUAACAGGCUGAUCUUCCCCAAGAGUCCAUAUCGACGGGAUGGUUUGGCACCUCGAUGUCGGCUCGUCGCAUCCUGGGGCUGGAGUCGGUCCCAAGGGUUGGGCUGUUCGCCCAUUAAAGCGGUACGCGAGCUGGGUUUAGAACGUCGUGAGACAGUUCGGUCCCUAUCCGCUGUGCGCGUAGGAGUCUUGAGAAGGGCUGUCCCUAGUACGAGAGGACCGGGACGGACGAACCUCUGGUGUGCCAGUUGUUCUGCCAAGGGCAUGGCUGGUUGGCUACGUUCGGGAGGGAUAACCGCUGAAAGCAUCUAAGCGGGAAGCCUGCUUCGAGAUGAGGACUCCCACCCACUUGAUGGGUUAAGGCUCCCAGUAGACGACUGGGUUGAUAGGCCAGAUAUGGAAGCCGGGUGACCGGUGGAGUUGACUGGUACUAAUAGGCCGAGGGCUUGUCCUC